rnacentral:rRNA from 1 species
GGACUACCCGGGUUUCUAAUCCUGUUUGAUCCCCACGCUUUCGUGUAUGAGUGUCAAUAUUGAACCAGGUCGCCGCCUUCGCCACCGGUGUUCCUCCAGAUAUCUACGUAUUUCACCACUACACCUGGAAUUCCACGACCCUCUUUCAUAUUCAAGUUCUGCAGUUUUAAAUGCACUUCCCGGGUUAAGCCCGGGGAUUUCACAUCUAACUUGCAAAACCACCUGCACACGCUUUACGCCCAAUGAUUCCGAACAACGCUAGGACCCCCCGUCUUACCGCGGCUGCUGGCAC